rnacentral:rRNA from 1 species
UGGGGAAUAUUGGACAAUGGGCGGAAGCCUGAUCCAGCCAUGCCGCGUGAGUGAAGAAGGCCUUCGGGUUGUAAAGCUCUUUCAGCGGGGACGAUGAUGACGGUACCCGCAGAAGAAGCCCCGGCUAACUUCGUGCCAGCAGCCGCGGUAAUACGAAGGGGGCUAGCGUUGUUCGGAAUUACUGGGCGUAAAGCGCGCGUAGGCGGCUUUGUCAGUCAGGGGUGAAAUCCCGGGGCUCAACCCCGGAACUGCCUUUGAUACUGCAAGGCUUGAGUCCGUGAGAGGAUGGUGGAAUACCCAGUGUAGAGGUGAAAUUCGUAGAUAUUGGGUGGAACACCGGUGGCGAAGGCGACCAUCUGGCACGGUACUGACGCUGAGGUGCGAA